UGGGGAAUAUUGCACAAUGGAGGGAACUCUGAUGCAGCGACGCCGCGUGAACGAAGAAGGCUUUCGAGUCGUAAAGUUCUUUUAUAUGGGAAGAUAAUGACGGUACCAUAAGAAAAAGCCCCGGCUAACUACGUGCCAGCAGCCGCGGUAAUACGUAGGGGGCUAGCGUUUCCCGGAAUCACUGGGCGUAAAGGGUUCGCAGGCGGAAAUGCAAGUCAGGUGUAAAAGGCAGUAGCUUAACUACUGUAAGCAUUUGAAACUGCAUAUCUUGAGAAGAGUAGAGGUAAGUGGAAUUUUUAGUGUAGCGGUGAAAUGCGUAGAUAUUAAAAAGAAUACCGGUGGCGAAGGCGACUUACUGGGCUCAUUCUGACGCUGAGGAACGAAAGCGUGGGUAGCAAACAGG
rnacentral:rRNA from 1 species